rnacentral:rRNA from 1 species
CGCGUAGGCGGCUCGCUAAGUUGGAUGUGAAAACUCUGGGCUUAACCCAGAGCCUGCAUCCAAAACUGGCAAGCUUGAGUACUGGAGGGAAAGCGGAAUUCCUGGUGUAGCGGUGAAAUGCGUAGAUAUCAGGAGGAACACCGGUGGCGAAGGCGGCUUUCUGGACAGUAACUGACGCUGAGGCGCGAAAGCUAGGGAGCAAACA